UAAAUUUCAAAGUAUUAUUGAGAGGAUUAUAGUCGUAUUUUUUUUAUUCAACAAUUACUUUACUCGAUUUUUUAAGAAAUCAAGCUCUGACGACAUUUCUGAGUACAAUCCACCAAAGUGUUGAUUUUAGCUGAAAUUGGGCACCAUACUACCGGAUAUCUGAGGGUUUUUGAAGCUCGUGAUGUUCUUCAGCACAUUGUGUAAGUUAUUUUUAUUAUUAACCAUUUUUUUGUAAUAAAUUUAUUAAGAAAUCGUGACUGAUUCAUGAAGAACCCUAAUUUUCAAAUAAUUUCUGCCAUUUGAUUAAUUUUAGACAAAAUCACUAGUUUUUGUGAUGAAAAUCAGAAGGGUUUUAAAGUUUAAAGAGUUAUUCAGAGUAUUGUAGUUAUAUUUUUUGUGAUUAAACAUCUAUUUUACUCGAUUUUUUAAGAAAUCAAGCUUCGGCAACAUUUUUUGAAAUUUUUUAUUUGCCGAAGUAUUGAUUUCAG
rnacentral:lncRNA from 1 species